GCGCCUGUAGCUCAACUGGAUAGAGCAGGUCCGUCCUAAGGACAAGGUUGUAGGUUCAACUCCUAUCGGGCGCG
rnacentral:tRNA from 1 species